rnacentral:rRNA from 1 species
GAUGAACGCUAGCUACAGGCUUAACACAUGCAAGUCGAGGGGAAACGACAUCGAAAGCUUGCUUUUGAUGGGCGUCGACCGGCGCACGGGUGAGUAACGCGUAUCCAACCUGCCCACCACUUGGGGAUAACCUUGCGAAAGUAAGACUAAUACCCAAUGAUAUCUCUAGAAGACAUCUGAAAGAGAUUAAAGAUUUAUCGGUGAUGGAUGGGGAUGCGUCUGAUUAGCUUGUUGGCGGGGUAACGGCCCACCAAGGCGACGAUCAGUAGGGGUUCUGAGAGGAAGGUCCCCCACAUUGGAACUGAGACACGGUCCAAGCUCCUACGGGAGGCAGCAGUGAGGAAUAUUGGGUCAAUGGGCGAGAGCCUGAACCAGCCAAGUAGCGUGCAGGAUGACGGCCCUAUGGGUUGUAAACUGCUUUUAUAAGGGAAUAAAGUGAGUCUCGUGAGACUUUUUGCAUGUACCUUAUGAAUAAGGACCGGCUAAUUCCGUGCCAGCA